UGGGGAAUAUUGGACAAUGGGCGAAAGCCUGAUCCAGCCAUGCCGCGUGUGUGAAGAAGGUCUUCGGAUUGUAAAGCACUUUAAGUUGGGAGGAAGGGCAGUAAGCGAAUACCUUGCUGUUUUGACGUUACCGACAGAAUAAGCACCGGCUAACUCUGUGCCAGCAGCCGCGGUAAUACAGAGGGUGCAAGCGUUAAUCGGAAUUACUGGGCGUAAAGCGCGCGUAGGUGGUUCGUUAAGUUGAAUGUGAAAGCCCCGGGCUCAACCUGGGAACUGCAUCCAAAACUUGCGAGCUAGAGUAGGGCAGAGGGUGGUGGAAUUUCCUGUGUAUCGGUGAAAUGCGUAGAUAUAGGAAGGAACACCAGUGGCGAAGGCGACCACCUGGGCUCAUACUGACACUGAGGUGCGAAAGCGUGGGGAGCAAACAGG
rnacentral:rRNA from 1 species